AUCGUGCCACUGCACUCCAGCCCAGGAGACAGAAUGAGACUUUGCCAAAAAAAAAAAAAAAGUAUAUUCCGAGACAGUAGCAAGUGCUAUCAUUGUAAACAAAAAAUUAAAAAAAAGAAAAAAUUGUUUCUAAGAGAGAUGUAAAUAAAUAAAUAAGAAAGAAAAGAAAUAGAUGGGAGACAGGACCCUGGAUGAUCUAGAGCCAGAACUCCUGGCAAUGCCUUUUCUCUGCCUCAGUGAUAUAUUUUACACUACCAAUCACCUGAGGUCAGGAGUUCAAGACCAGCCUGGCCAACAUGAUAAAACCCCGUCUCUACUAAAAAUACAAAAAAUUAGCCAGGCGUGGUGGCAGACGACUGUAAUUCAGCUACUUCAUGAAGUAAGUACAAUUAUUAUUUCUUUUUACAAAUCAGGAAACUGAGGCACAGAGAAGUUAGAGAACUUGCCCAACGUCAUACUGCUGUUGAGUGGCUAUUCAUAAUGUUCAGGCCUGCAUAUAAAUAAAGCAGGGAAAACCGGAGAUAGAUACUUAGUUUUUUAACUAUAAAACAUCCUGGUAAAAACAUUAAAAGGU
rnacentral:lncRNA from 1 species